rnacentral:misc_RNA from 1 species
GAUGAAGAACUUAGCGAAAUGCGAUAAGUAAUGUGAAUUGCAGAAUUCAGUGAAUCAUCGAAUCUUUGAACGCACAUUGCGCCCGCCAGUAUUCUGGCGGGCAUGCCUGUCCGAGCGUCAUUUCAACCCUCGCGCCCAUCUGGGCUGCGGUGUUGGGGACCGGCCUGCCCCCCCGGGGCGCGCCGCCCCCCAAAUUCAGUGGCGGUCUCGCUGCAGCCUCCCUUGCGUAGUAGCACACCUCGCACCGGAGCGCAGCGCGGCCACGCCGUAAAACCCCCGACCCCCAUGAGUUUGACCUCGGAUCAGGUAGGAAUACCCGCUGAACUUAAGCAUAUCAAUAAGCGGAGGA